rnacentral:rRNA from 1 species
AACGAACGCUGGCGGCAUGCCUAACACAUGCAAGUCGAACAAGACCUUCGGGUCUAGUGGCGCACGGGUGCGUAACGCGUGGGAACCUGCCCUUAGGUUCGGAAUAACUCCCCGAAAGGGGUGCUAAUACCGGAUAAUGUCUUCGGACCAAAGAUUUAUCGCCUUUGGAUGGGCCCGCGUUGGAUUAGCUAGUUGGUAGGGUAAAAGCCUACCAAGGCGACGAUCCAUAGCUGGUCUGAGAGGAUGAUCAGCCACACUGGGACUGAGACACGGCCCAGACUCCUACGGGAGGCAGCAGUGGGGAAUAUUGGACAAUGGGCGAAAGCCUGAUCCAGCAAUGCCGCGUGAGUGAUGAAGGCCUUAGGGUUGUAAAGCUCUUUUACCCGGGAUGAUAAUGACAGUACCGGGAGAAUAAGCUCCGGCUAACUCCGUG